ACCUGAGCUGAGAUCAAGAGUUGGACACUUCACCAACUGAGCCACCCAGGCGCCCCCACAACUUACAUUUCUACCGAUAGUGCAUGAGGGUCAUUAUUCCGUUGUUAUGGAUGAAGAAACUGAGAUAGAGAGAGGGCAAAUAAUUUUCCUAUAGUCACUCAUGGUUAAUAUAUUUUGAAACAUCACUAGAUAUUAAUAUGCUAUUUUUAAUUUAAAUUACAGUUAUUCAAAGUUACAAAAAGUUAUACAUGAAAUACCUGGUGAAUAAAUUUUGAAUGAUCAAAUUUGUUAUAUAGAGAGAUACAACAAAAAGAAAUGUGUGCCAGGACUGAUUUUUAUUUGUUUGUUUUCUAUUUUUCUUUUGCAAACUAAAGAAGCCCUGAGGACAGAACUCUGGUCACUGCAGAGUAAAAGGCAUUAACAUAGCAAGUAAAAGACUUGAAGGUCAAUGCUAAGAAGAAAUUGGAGUCGGGGAGAGUAAGGAGAUGGAUACUGAAAUGAAAGAGGUAGAGUCCCUGCUCUUGAAGCACCCAUGAUCUGGUGGAGGAGAUUGGCACAGAGACCAUUGACUCCAGCAUGUGAAAAGCACUAUAACGAAGGUGCGUAUGAGGUACCACGAAAGGACUAAGGAAGGCUCCCUGCCUUGCCUUGGGGAAAAUAGGCAAAGUGGCAUUUAAGCUGGACCUUGAGGGAUAGGUGGGAUCCUCCACGGAGAGAAGGGGGAAAGAGUAUGGCAGGUAAAGGGAACUGCAGGCACAAAAGGCAAUGGAAAAUGAAACCUGAAGGCAUAUCGGGUUUGGAGAAAAGCAAUAGUUUGAAAUGAGAAAAGGGUGGUGCAGCAGGAGGUGAGAGUGGAAGCAGCUUUGAGAGGCUUUGCCAGGAGCUGAGGUGCCACAGGAGGUGGGUGAGCAGAGUAACAGGGUCAGGGCUAUGGCAACCAUUCUGGUUUAACUCACCUCGACAAGUUAAUGAGGAGAGCCUGAGACUUGCCACAGUUUCAAAAACCCCUGAGCUCAAACUGGUUCUGCCUAGCUCUGUUUAUCGUUGAUUUGUUUUUGCUUGGGCUGUUGGUUCUAGAAGGGGCAGGAAGCGGCCCUAGCAAAAUACUAGCUGUUUUCCUGUGAAAUAGAAAGAACACCACGUAGGCUCGCUUGUCCAUUGUUAUUGCUACCCACAUGAGAGGUACUCUGUUGGGAUGCCUUUAGCUGCAACUGAGAGAAAAAUCGAGUUGCAUAAGGAAUUUAUCAGCUCAUGAUGUUAGAAAGUCCAGAGGCGGCUAGUUUCAGGUGAGGCUCGAUCUAGCAGCAAAAACAAUGCCUUUCUCUUCUUCCCUGCUCUCUUCUUAAGAAAGCUGACUCCCUUUGGGGUCCCAGGAUGACUUAACACAGCUCCCAGGGCUACCUGCUUUCUCAUUCACACUCAGCAGGAAAGAGAGCAUCUUUGUCUUUGUCUGAGAGUCACCCUGAUUACAACAGCUUUGGUCACAUGCACCCUUUAAAUCAAUCAUAGUGACAGUGGAUAAAAUGCAGUGAUUACCUUAGCUUUCAGGGGUCUACUGCUUGACCUCUGAAGUCAGGAAAAGAGUUGUCUUCCCUAGGGCCACACAGACUUCCAAACGUAAAUAAAACAGGACUACUGGAAAAGUGAAAAGGGGUCAAUGAACAGCCAUCUUCGGCAGUCAGGUAUUAGAGGUUCAGAGGACUCGCUCAGUUAAAGCCUUGGUUUUCACAUAACCUCCUUCAUCGUUGUUAGUGCCCCCCCCCCAA